UUGCAUUCUUACAUGUUUUAUAUUCCCAAACCAAAUUCAUUCUUCUUUCCUAAUGUUUGGAUUUUUUUUUCUCGUUUGUUGUUAGAUGAGUAUCACCACAUUGCAUAUCAAAAAUUGGCUUACCUUUCUAUAAAUUGCGUGCGUCUUCUUCCUCGCCCCCAAACCGCCUCGCCCAAAAAAAACCUAAAAGCAUUAGGGUUUAGGAGGGAGAUCAAAAUUGGGUCAUCCCCACCCCAAUUGACUUGCGUAGGCUGCAAUGGAUGAUGCGACAAGUUUUGCGAUCGCAACGGGAGCUGAUCCGAACCUUUUAUGGAAAGGUAUUGGUGAUGUGUGUUUUCUGCGAAUUGAUAGUGAAGCUAGAUCUCUUUUAACACUUGGGAAGGGGGGUCCUCCUGAUUAUAUUCUCGCUCCCUACGGCAGAACCACGCGAGGCAAAGAGCUUCCACGGCGUUGCAGAGGUAUACAGAGAUUCAUGUUUCCACGCGCCGGUGAUUAUUUUGAUCUUGUGGUUCUGGGAGUCUUACCGAUGGGCAUAGAUGGAUUUGAGUGGGUUUCCGGCGAUAGAAUCAGAGGUGGUGAUGGUGAAGGAAAAGCAGCAUGCUUCUUUCCUAUAAAGGAGGAAGAAUUUGUUAUAAAGGAAGAAUUUGUUACUAUAAAGGAAGGCUUCUUUCCCCCUUUUGUUAUAAACCAUCCAAAAGCGCCUUGGGAUAGUCUUGAUGAAGCAAUGAAGACUCAAGUGAGAAACGAGGCAUGUUUGAAAGCGAAUGAAGCACUGCGUAGAGCUGGGUAUCAUCAAUAUCAUGUGUGUUGUGAACAAAUAGAUCUAGAUUCUAUGCUUGUCCAUUCUUCAGAGUGGGGACACAUAACAGAGCCUCGCGCAUUGGCUUGGGAAUUAGUGGACGCAUAUGACGCAUAUUUGCCGACGAGGAAGAAUUGAGCUCUUGAUGCUCAUUCUCAAGGUGAUGGGUAUCCGACGAGUAGCGGGUUAGCGGAUAUCCGAGGGUGGUGGGUAUCCGCGGAUGACGAAUGUGAGUAUUUGGGCCAUACUCGAGGAACUGAAUGAGAGAGAGAGAGAAGCAAAUCUUCUAUGAUAUGUGGACUUUUGUAGCGUUUUUGAAAAUAAAACGAAUCUGGAAUGUGGGGGCAUACGUAGCAGAUUACAAAAGGAUAAUAUCUAAAGGGCGUGUUCGGGUUUCAUGCCGAUUUCAGUUUGAAUUGCUUCCGGCUCUCACUCUCACUCUCAUUGGAAGAGAGGUUGAAACCUGUUUGAGAAUCAUUACAGAAGUCAUUCAUAACCAAACCUUCUCCCGCCCAGAAAACAUCUCUUGUGGAGUGACUAAAAGGAACGCCUAUUUUACCACGAAAUUUGAAAUAGAAAGUGACCAUGGUUUGCCAGUGGAAAUUAUGGCCCUAUGGGAGGUUGAGAUGAACAAAUGCUAUAACAGGAUAGUUGCUAGAGCAAGAGAAGACGGUGGUGGUGGUGGUGGUGGUGCUGGUGCUGGUGCUGCAGCGGCUGGGGAUGGUGGCGCGUGAUGUGGCGCAGCUGGUAACUUUUUAGUUAGCUAUUUUUUGGGAAAAUCGAUAAUAAAACAAAAAUGUUUGAUUCAAUGUAUAUGAGUUUAUUUUGGGUUCCCUUUUGUGUUUCACAUUUUGUUCGGUGGCAUAUACUCCCUCCAUCCACCAAAAAUAUGUCACUUUACUUUCGGCACGGAUUUUAAUAAAAUGUGAGUGAAGUUGGUAGUGGA